rnacentral:rRNA from 1 species
UACGUAGGGUCCAAGCGUUAUCCGGAAUCACUGGGCGCAAAGCGUGCGUAGGCGGCGUGUUAAGUGUGAUGUUAAAUCGUGUGGCUCAACCAUAUCGAUGCAUCACAUACUGGCAUGCUAGAGGAAGGCAGAGGCAAGUGGAAUUUGUAGUGUAGCAGUGAAAUGCGUAGAUAUUACAAGGAACACCAAUGGCGAAGGCAGCUUGCUGGGCCUUUUCUGACGCUGAGGUACGAAAGCGUGGGGAGCGAACAGG